UUAUUACUGUUAGUCGAGCGAACUCCAUUACUAAGCUUGCUUCUAUGACGUUAGCGGCGGACGGGUGAGUAACACGUGGGCAACCUGCCUGUAAGACUGGGAUAACUUCCGGAAACCGAAGCUAAUACCGGAUAGGAUCUUCUCCUUCAUGGGAGAUGAUUGAAAGAUGGUUUCGGCUAUCACUUACAGAUGGGCCCGCGGUGCAUUAGCUACUUGGUGAGGUAACGGCUCACCACGGCAACGAUGCCUAGCCGACCUGAGAGGGUGAUCGGCCACCCUGGGACUGAGACACGGCCCCCACUCCUACGGGAGGCAGCAGUAGGGAAUCUUCCGCAAUGGACGAAAGUCUGACGGACCACCGCCCCGUGAGUGAUGAAGGCUUUCGGGUCGUAAAACUCUGUUGUUAGGGAAGAACAAGUACGAGAGUAACUGCUCGUACCUUGACGGUACCUAACCAGAAAGCCACGGCUAACUACGUGCCAGCAGCCGCGGUAAUACGUAGGUGGCAAGCGUUAUCCGGAAUUAUUGGGCGUAAAGCGCGCGCAGGCGGUUUCUUAAGUCUGAUGUGAAAGCCCACGGCUCAACCGUGGAGGGUCAUUGGAAACUGGGGAACUUGAGUGCAGAAGAGAAAAGCGGAAUUCCACGUGUAGCGGUGAAAUGCGUAGACAUGCGGAGGAACACCAGUGGCCAACGCGGCUUUUUCGUCUGUAACUGACGCUGACGCGCGAAAGCGUCGGGAGCAAACAGGAUUAGAUACCCUGGUAGUCCACGCCCUAAACGACGAGUGCUAAGUGUUAGAG
rnacentral:rRNA from 1 species